GAAUCUUCCGCAAUGGACGAAAGUCUGACGGAGCAACGCCGCGUGAGUGAAGAAGGCCUUCGGGUCGUAAAACUCUGUUGUUAGGGAAGAACAAGUGUCGGAGUAACUGCCGGCACCUUGACGGUACCUAACCAGAAAGCCACGGCUAACUACGUUCCAGCAGCCGCGGUAAUACGUAGGUGGCAAGCGUUGUCCGGAAUUAUUGGGCGUAAAGCGAGCGCAGGUGGUUUCUUAAGUCUGAUGUGAAAGCCCACGGCUCAACCGUGGAAGGUCAUUGGAAACUGGGGAACUUGAAUGCAGAAGAGGAGAGUGGAAUUCCAUGUGUAGCGGUGAAAUGCGUAGAUAUAUGGAGGAACACCAGUGGCGAAGGCGACUCUCUGGUCUGUUAUUGACACUGAGGCUCGAAAGCGUGGGGAGCAAACA
rnacentral:rRNA from 1 species